AUUGAACGCUGGCGGCAGGCCUAACACAUGCAAGUCGAGCGAGCGGCGGACGGGUGAGUAAUGUAUGGGAAUCUGCCUGAUGGCGGGGGAUAACUACUGGAAACGGUAGCUAAUACCGCAUACCAUCAGAUGUACCCAUAUGGGAUUAGCUAGUAGGUGGGGUAAAGGCUUACCUAGGCGACGAUCCCUAGCUGGUCUGAGAGGAUGAUCAGCCACACUGGGACUGAGACACGGCCCAGACUCCUACGGGAGGCAGCAGUGGGGAAUAUUGCACAAUGGGCGCAAGCCUGAUGCAGCCAUGCCGCGUGUAUGAAGAAGGCCUUCGGGUUGUAAAGUACUUUCAGCGGGGAGGCGUUACUCACAGAAGAAGCACCGGCUAACUCCGUGCCAGCAGCCGCGGUAAUAC
rnacentral:rRNA from 1 species